AUUGAACGCUGGCGGCAGGCCUAACACAUGCAAGUCGAGCGGAUGAAGGGAGCUUGCUCCUGGAUUCAGCGGCGGACGGGUGAGUAAUGCCUAGGAAUCUGCCUGGUAGUGGGGGAUAACGUCCGGAAACGGGCGCUAAUACCGCAUACGUCCUGAGGGAGAAAGUGGGGGAUCUUCGGACCUCACGCUAUCAGAUGAGCCUAGGUCGGAUUAGCUAGUUGGUGGGGUAAAGGCCUACCAAGGCGACGAUCCGUAACUGGUCUGAGAGGAUGAUCAGUCACACUGGAACUUGGACACGGUCCAGACUCCUACGGGAGGCAGCAGUGGGGAAUAUUGGACAAUGGGCGAAAGCCUGAUACAGCCAUGCCGCGUGUGUGAAGAAGGUCUUCGGAUUGUAAAGCACUUUAAGUUGGGAGGAAGGGCAGUAAGUUAAUACCUUGCUGUUUUGACGUUACCAACAGAAUAAGCACCGGCUAACUUCGUG
rnacentral:rRNA from 1 species